GGGGAAUAUUGGACAAUGGGGGCAACCCUGAUCCAGCCAUGCCGCGUGUGUGAAGAAGGCCUUCGGGUUGUAAAGCACUUUAAGCGGGGAGGAAGGCCUUGGGAUUAAUACUCCCGAGGAUUGACGUUACCCGCAGAAUAAGCACCGGCUAACUCUGUGCCAGCAGCCGCGGUAAUACAGAGGGUGCAAGCGUUAAUCGGAAUUACUGGGCGUAAAGCGCGCGUAGGCGGUUUGUUAAGUCGGAUGUGAAAUCCCCGGGCUCGACCUGGGCACGGCAUCCGAUACUGGCUGACUAGAGUGUGGGAGAGGAAGGUAGAAUUCCAGGUGUAGCGGUGAAAUGCGUAGAGAUCUGGAGGAAUACCGAUGGCGAAGGCAGCCUUCUGGCCUAACACUGACGCUGAGGUGCGAAAGCAUGGGGAGCAAAC
rnacentral:rRNA from 1 species